CGCAUUGACUUUUUCACCGCCAGGCGACAAACGUGGCGCAGUUCCUAACGGAAAUAUGGCGAUAAAGGCGCACGGAAUAAACGGAUCGGACCCGGGGGCGGUACCCGGCGGCUCCACCAGAGGCUAUUCAUCAUUGGGGAAUAGAUUGGGGCCGAAACAGGAUUGACGAACGCGUAAAGGUGUAAGCUUUCGCUCGGUGUGGCACCGCCGUUAUCGGUCCAGACUGCACAAUUGCCAAUGACAAUCGUGCUCCGCUAAGGCUAGCUGCGUAAGCGGCCCGCUGACGCGGAACUCCAGCCCGGUGCCCUAGCACGCACCGGCGGGGUCGGCAGGCGCCCGGCAACAGAAGCCUGCAUU
rnacentral:tmRNA from 1 species